rnacentral:rRNA from 1 species
AACGAACGCUGGCGGCAUGCCUAACACAUGCAAGUCGAACGAGACCUUCGGGUCUAUUGGCGCACGGGUGCGUAACGCGUGGUAACCUGCCCUUAGGUUCGGAAUAACUCCCCGAAAGGGGUGCUCAUACCGGAUAAUGUCUUCGGACCAAAGAUUUAUGGCCUUUGGAUGGGCCCGCGUUGGAUUAGCUAGUUGGUAGGGUAAAAGCCUAGCAAGUCGACGAUCCAUAGCUGGUCUGAGAGCAUGAUCAGCCACACUGGGACUGAGACACGGCCUAGACUCCUACGGGAGGCAGCAGUGUGUAAUGUUGGACGAGGGGCGAAAGCCUGAUCAAGCAAUGCCGGGUAAGUGAUGAAGGCCUUAGGGUUGUAAAGCUCUUUUACCCGGGAUGAUAAUGACAGUACCGGGAGAAUAAGCUCCGGCUAACUCCGUG